rnacentral:rRNA from 1 species
GACGAACGCUGGCGGCGUGCUUAACACAUGCAAGUCGAACGGAAAGGCCCUGCUUUUGUGGGGUGCUCGAGUGGCGAACGGGUGAGUAACACGUGAGUAACCUGCCCUUGACUUUGGGAUAACUUCAGGAAACUGGGGCUAAUACCGGAUAGGAGCUCCUGCUGCAUGGUGGGGGUUGGAAAGUUUCGGCGGUUGGGGAUGGAUUCGCGGCUUAUCAGCUUGUUGGUGGGGUAGUGGCUUACCAAGGCUUUGACGGGUAGCCGGCCUGAGAGGGCGACCGGCCACAUUGGGACUGAGAUACGGCCCAGACUCCUACGGGAGGCAGCAGUGGGGAAUAUUGCACAAUGGGCGGAAGCCUGAUGCAGCAACGCCGCGUGCGGGAUGACGGCCUUCGGGUUGUAAACCGCUUUCGCCUGUGACGAAGCGUGAGUGACGGUAAUGGGUAAAGAAGCACCGGCUAACUACGUGCCAGCAGCCGCGGUGAUACGUAGGGUGCGAGCGUUGUCCGGAUUUAUUGGGCGUAAAGGGCUCGUAGGUGGUUGAUCGCGUCGGAAGUGUAAUCUUGGGGCUUAACCCUGAGCGUGCUUUCGAUACGGGUUGACUUGAGGAAGGUAGGGGAGAAUGGAAUUCCUGGUGGAGCGGUGGAAUGCGCAGAUAUCAGGAGGAACACCAGUGGCGAAGGCGGUUCUCUGGGCCUUUCCUGACGCUGAGGAGCGAAAGCGUGGGGAGCGAACAGGCUUAGAUACCCUGGUAGUCCACGCUGUAAACGGUGGGUACUAGGUGUGGGGUCCAUUCCACGGGUUCCGUGCCGUAGCUAACGCUUUAAGUACCCCGCCUGGGGAGUACGGCCGCAAGGCUAAAACUCAAAGGAAUUGACGGGGCCCCGCACAAGCGGCGGAGCAUGCGGAUUAAUUCGAUGCAACGCGUAGAACCUUACCUGGGUUUGACAUGGAUCGGGAGCGCUCAGAGAUGGGUGUGCCUCUUUUGGGGUCGGUUCACAGGUGGUGCAUGGCUGUCGUCAGCUCGUGUCGUGAGAUGUUGGGUUAAGUCCCGCAACGAGCGCAACCCUUGUUCACUGUUGCCAGCACGUUAUGGUGGGGACUCAGUGGAGACCGCCGGGGUCAACUCGGAGGAAGGUGGGGAUGACGUCAAGUCAUCAUGCCCCUUAUGUCCAGGGCUUCACGCAUGCUACAAUGGCUGGUACAGAGAGUGGCGAGCCUGUGAGGGUGAGCGAAUCUCGGAAAGCCGGUCUCAGUUCGGAUUGGGGUCUGCAACUCGACCUCAUGAAGUCGGAGUCGCUAGUAAUCGCAGAUCAGCAACGCUGCGGUGAAUACGUUCCCGGGGCU